rnacentral:rRNA from 1 species
UACGAAGGGGGCUAGCGUUGCUCGGAAUCACUGGGCGUAAAGGGUGCGUAGGCGGGUUUUUAAGUCAGGGGUGAAAUCCUGGAGCUCAACUCCGGAACUGCCUUUGAUACUGGCGAUCUUGAGUUCGAGAGAGGUGAGUGGAACUGCGAGUGUAGAGGUGAAAUUCGUAGAUAUUCGCAAGAACACCAGUGGCGAAGGCGGCUCACUGGCUCGAUACUGACGCUGAGGUGCGAAAGCGUGGGGAGCAAACAGG